rnacentral:snoRNA from 1 species
AAGACAAUACUUUCAGGAAUCAUUUCUAUACUUCGUUACUAGAGAAGUUUUUCUGAUGGUGUAGAGCACCAGAAAUCAUGAGGAGGAAGUGCAGUGUCCUCUCCUGAGUGUGAAACCAGCUCUUGGUGUUGCUUCACUGCAACUGCCGUUUGCCAUUGAUGAUCGUUCUUGCUUUCCUUUGGGGGAGCAAAAGGGAGAGGACGCAGUCUGAGAGAA